AAGGGCGCAUGGAGAAUGCCUUGGCAUCAGGAGCCGAAGAAGGACGUGAUAAGCUGCGAAAAGUUUCGGGUAGGCGCAAAUAGCCAGAGAACCGAAAAUGUCCGAAUGGGGAAACCCUCGUGUAAAACUACACGAAUCAUUAACUGAAUACAUAGGUUGAUGAAGGUAAACCCGGGGAACUGAAACAUCUAAGUACCCGGAGGAAGAGAAAGAAAAAUCGAUUUUCUAAGUAGCGGCGAGCGAAAGGGAAAGAGCCCAAACCAGAAACUUGUUUCUGGGGUUGAGGAAUAGAUAUAAAGCUUAUUGAUUGGAGUCGAAUACAACUGGAAAGUUGAGCCGCAGAAUGUAAGAGUCAUGUAGGCAAAAGAGAGAUAAGCGAAUCUAUAUCCAGAGUACCACGAGACACGAGAAACCUAGUGGGAAGCAGGGAGGACCACCUCCCAAGGCUAAAUACUACCUGAUGACCGAUAGAGAAGAAGUACCGUGAGGGAAAGGUGAAAAGAACCCCGGGAGGGGAGUGAAAGAGAACCUGAAACCGUGUGCCUACAACCGGUCAGAGCACCAAGAGUGUGAUGACGUGCUUUUUGUAGAACGAGCCAGCGAGUUACGGUAUGUAGCAAGGUUAAGUACUUAAGGUACGGAGCCGAAGGGAAACCGAGUCUUAAAAGGGCGAGAAGUUGCAUGCUGUAGACCCGAAACCGGGUGACCUAUCCAUGGACAGGGUGAAGCGGAAGUAAAAUUCCGUGGAGGCCCGAACCACAUUGGUGUUGAAAAACCAUGGGAUGAGCUGUGGAUAGCGGAGAAAUUCCAAUCGAACUCGGAGAUAGCUGGUUCUCCUCGAAAUAGCUUUAGGGCUAGCGUCAAGGUAAAGAAUAGUGGAGGUAGAGCACUGAAUAGGCUAGGGGCCAUUGAGGUUACUGAACCUUAUCAAACUCCGAAUGCCACUAUAUCAUACUUGGCAGUCAGACUGCGAAUGAUAAGAUCCGUAGUCAAAAGGGAAAAAGCCCAGAUCGUCAGCUAAGGUCCCAAAGUGUAAGUUAAGUGGGAAAGGAUGUGAGAUUUCAUAGACAACUAGGAUGUUGGCUUAGAAGCAGCCACACAUUAAAAGAGUGCGUAAUAGCUCACUAGUCGAGAGAUCUUGCGCCGAAAAUGUCCGGGGCUAAAACUUACCACCGAAGCUACGGGAUUUAGAUAAACUAAAUCGGUAGAGGAGCGUCCUGCAUGGGUAGAAGCUAUACCGAAAGGAAUGGUGGACUGUGCAGGAGAGAGAAUGCUGGCAUAAGUAGCGAGAACUAAGUGAGAAUCUUAGUGGUCGAAAAUCUAAGGAUUCCUGAGGAAGGUUCGUCCGCUCAGGGUAAGUCGGGACCUAAGGCGAGGCCGAGAGGCGUAGUCGAUGGACAAUCGGUUUAAAUUCCGAUACCACUUUUAAUCGUUAAAACCGAUGGGGUGACGCAGAAGGAUAAGAUAAGCUUGCUGAUGGAUAUGCAAGCACAAGCAUUGAGGCAGAACAUGCAGGCAAAUCCGUAUGUUCAAUGUCAAGAUGUAACGUGGAGCGAAAUAAAGUAGCGAAGUAUCUGAUUUCAUACUGCCAAGAAAAGCCUCUAGGGAGAGAGAAAGUGCCCGUACCGCAAACCGACACAGGUAGAUGAGGAGAGAAUCCUAAGACCAUCGGAAGAAUUGCAGUUAAGGAACUCGGCAAAUUGACCCCGUAACUUCGGGAGAAGGGGUGCCAUGGAGACAUGGUCGCAGAGAAAAGGCCCAAGCAACUGUUUAGCAAAAACAUAGGUCUCUGCUAAAGCGAAAGCUGAAGUAUAGGGGCUGACGCCUGCCCGGUGCUGGAAGGUUAAGGGGAGUGCUUAGUGGGAACACGAAGGCAUGAACUUAAGCCCCAGUAAACGGCGGCCGUAACUAUAACGGUCCUAAGGUAGCGAAAUUCCUUGUCGGGUAAGUUCCGACCCGCACGAAUGGCGUAAUGACUUGGGCACUGUCUCAACUGCAAAUCCGGCGAAAUUGUAGUGCAAGUGAAGAUGCUUGCUACCCGCGAUUGGACGGAAAGACCCCGUAGAGCUUUACUGUAGUUUAGCACUGAGUUUCGGUAUUGUCUGUACAGAAUAGGUGGGAGACUGGGAGAGCAGGUCGUCAGGCUUGCUGGAGUCGACUGUGGGAUACCACCCUGAUAGUACUGAGAUUCUAACCGGGCACCAUGAAGCUGGUGACGGGACAAUGUUAGAUGGGCAGUUUGACUGGGGCGGUCGCCUCCGAAAGAGUAACGGAGGCGUACAAAGGUUUCCUCAGAACGGUUAGAAAUCGUUCGAAGAGUGUAAAAGCAGAAGGAAGCUUGACUGCGACACC
rfam:Clostridium oryzae strain DSM 28571 CLORY_contig000142, whole genome shotgun sequence.